AUAUGUUUCAAUUAUUUACACGCAAUAUAUAUGCUUUGAAAAUUUUUUGCAAUAGUCAAAAGGAACUUAUUAUUUUUUCCCUAAUUUUUUGUCAAUUUAGCAACGUUCUUUUUCGACUGUAAACUGUAAAACAUUUUCAAAGCGAUGAUACGUAUAUACUGAUUCAAUAAUUGAAAUAUGAAUAUUCUAAAACUAAGGGUUCCGUUAUUCACUGUAAGUACUGGCGCUAUGAUGUCACGGAAGUAUACUGCAGGUGUCGUUCCGAUUUAGUUUCGUGCACUUUCAAACUGCUGUAAGGUUGUAAAACGGAACGCAUUCGCAGUACAUUUUUUUACUGCGCACAUCAAUUUUCCUAUAAUCUAACCUAUAACCUAUAAGUUACUUAUUAUUUUGUGAAAAAUGAGUAGAAUAAAUAAAUAAAAAAUAAUUGCAUUGAUUACAUAUACAUUAAUAAAAAAUGCAGAUGAUUCAAGUGAUUCUAGUGACGAUGAAUUAAAUAUAGAGAUGUUAAACUUUCAAACUCGAGUACCAAGAAUACGGUGCAAAAAUUAUGUUGAAAAUAUUGUACCAUUAUAUUCGGAUAUGGAAUUUAAAACUCAUUUUCGGUUAUUAAAUAUAGAGUUAUUAAAUAUAAAACAUGAAAUAUUAAAGAUUAAACAUUUAUGUAUUAAUUCAUUAUUUUUUAAACAUAGAAUGAGACGCACUACUUUUUAAUUUUUGUUAGAAUUAUUAACUCCACAUCUAACAAAACGCUUAGAAAGAUUUGGUCGCCAUCAAAUAACGCCUGAAAAACAAUUAUUAUUAAGUAUUUGGAUGAUGGCAACUCCUAAUUCAUACAGAUGUGUAAGUGACAGAUUUGACGUUGUACGAGCAACAGCAUGGAGAAGUGUUAGAAGAGUAUAGUUUCUGCUUUGCAUUCUCAUUUACAUACAUUUAUAUCAUGGCCAUCACCAGAAGAAGCAAAAGCUACAUCGACACUUAUACAAAUAAAGUAUGGAUUUCCAAAAGUAAUAGGUGUAAUUGACGGCACUCACGUAAAAAUAGCAGCACAAAAACAAAUCCGAAAAGUUACAUGAACAGGAAAGACUUUCAUUCAAUCCAGCUAUAAGUUGUAUGUGAUGCUCAUCUUAAAUUUUUACAUUGUUAUACUAGACAAGUUGGUUCAAUACAUGAUAUGAGGAUCUUUCGACUAUCGCAUUUUCAAGAUUAUAUGUGUACAGAUGAAAAAUUCCUGGAGAAUAGUCAUCUACUAGAAGAUUCUGCAUAUGGUAUCCAAAAAUAUAUUAUGGUACCUUUUAAGGACAAUGGACAUUUGACAGAUAUUGAAAUAAACUAUAACAGAAUACAUUCUUCCGCACGCAUGAUAGUCGAAAUGAAAGGUCAAGAAAACGCAUGAAAGGUCAUUAGGACUUUUAAAAGGACAAUUUAGAAGUAUUCUAGAUACUUUACCAAUGACCAGAACAGAUUUAAUAUUUAAAUAUAUUAUAGCAUGUUGUUUAUUGCAUAAUAUUUGUUUACUGCAUGACGACAUGAUAGAUAUACCAAUUAUUGUAAAUAACCCACAAUAUGCUGAAAAAAUAAUAUUAAUGUUUGUGACAAAGAAGAAGGUAUUCAAAAACGAAAUUUUAUAGCUCAAGGUUUAAUGAAUCCUCAACAUUUUAUAAAUUAAUCUUUUUUAAAUAUGU